rnacentral:rRNA from 1 species
GACGAACGCUGGCGGCGUGCUUAACACAUGCAAGUCGAGCGAUGAAUUUUCUUCGGAAAUGGAUUAGCGGCGAACGGGUGAGGAACACGUGAAGAAUCUGCCCUCCACUUUGGGAUAACACAGGGAAACCUGUGCUAAUACCGAAUAUUGAAACAUAAGUGGCAUCACUGAGUUUUGAAAGAAUUUCGGUGGAGGAUGACUUCGCGGCCUAUCAGCUAGUUGGUGAGGUAAUGGCUCACCAAGGCAACGACGGGCAGCCGGCCUGAGAGGGCGACCGGCCACACUGGGACUGAGACACGGCCCAGACUCCUACGGGAGGCAGCAGUGGGGAAUAUUGGGCAAUGGAGGAAAUUCUGACCCAGCGACGCCGCGUGCGGGAUGAAGGCCUUCGGGUUGUAAACCGCUUUCAGUAGGGAAGAAGCGAAAGUGACGGUACCUACAAAAGAAGCACCGGCUAACUAUGUGCCAGCCGCCGCUGUAA